GAGGAUGCAGGGUUAUCUCGCAAACGAUCUCUGCAAAAACAUAGUUGCCGAUUCCAAUCGCAACGACUUCGCCCUCGCUGCAUAAGCGACGCCGAUAGUCCGUCAGACCGUGGUUGACCCCGACACGGAUCCUGGCGUCAUCUAGGGGUCUUGCUGAGAAGCGGCGUCUGGACGCUUCUCGGGACUCUUUCCAGACUGGGCUCGUCGACUUAGGUGUCAGUGACAAAUGUCGGAGCCGAGCAGAACGUCUUCACUGACUACGCCCGUAGAAGGCGCAGAGACACAGAUGGACGGGG
rnacentral:sRNA from 1 species